AACGAACGCUGGCGGCGUGGAUAAGACAUGCAAGUCGAACGUGGCAAUGCUUGUAGCAAUAUGAGUGUUGUUCAGUGGCGAACGGGUGCGUAACACGUGGAUACAUUCCGGAAAGCGGGGGAUAGCCCAGGGAAACUUGGAUUAAUACCGCAUGUGGUCGAAAGACUAAAGGUGGGGACCGCAAGGCCUGCCACUUUCCGAUUGGUCCGCGGCCUAUCAGCUAGUUGGCGGGGUAAAGGCCCACCAAGGCUACGACGGGUAGCUGGUCUUAGAGGACGACCAGCCACACUGGAACUGAGACACGGUCCAGACACCUACGGGUGGCAGCAGUCGAGAAUCUUUCACAAUGGGGGCAACCCCGAUGGAGCGACGCCGCGUGGAGGAUAAGGUCUUCGGAUUGUAAACUCCUGUCAUGCGCGAACAAGGUUGCUGGGUUAAUAACCCGGCAAAUUGAUGGUACCGCAAGAGGAAGAGACGGCUAACUCUGUGCCAGCAGCCGCCGUAAGAC
rnacentral:rRNA from 1 species